AGUGAACGCUGGCGGUAGGCCUAACACAUGCAAGUCGAACGGCAGCACAGGAGAGCUUGCUCUCUGGGUGGCGAGUGGCGAACGGGUGAGGAAUACAUCGGAAUCUACUUUUUCGUGGGGGAUAACGUAGGGAAACUUACGCUAAUACCGCAUACGACCUACGGGUGAAAGCAGGGGAUCUUCGGACCUUGCGCGAUUGAAUGAGCCGAUGUCGGAUUAGCUAGUUGGCGGGGUAAAGGCCCACCGAGGCGACGAUCCGUAGCUGGUCUGAGAGGAUGAUCAGCCACACUGGAACUGAGACACGGUCCAGACUCCUACGGGAGGCAGCAGUGGGGAAUAUUGGACAAUGGGCGCAAGCCUGAUCCAGCCAUACCGCGUGGGUGAAGAAGGCCUUCGGGUUGUAAAGCCCUUUUGUUGGGAAAGAAAUCCAGCUGGUUAAUACCCGGUUGGGAUGACGGUACCCAAAGAAUAAGCACCGGCUAACUUCGUGCCAGCCGCCGCAGUAA
rnacentral:rRNA from 1 species